GGCGGGAGCUGCAUGUUUACGUUUCCGGGCCCAAAGAACGAACAAACCACUAAUUACGAUCUAACUUUGUAUAAUUAUUGGAUUCUGUUAUCAUCUCUUGCUGCUCGCCACGCGUGUUUUUUGAGCGGACACAAAUAGGACUACCUACAUUAUGACAUCUGCCGACAUUAAACCAGUGGAGUUUUUACCUGGAGUCCCUGACUGGAGCACCGUGGACCAGCCAAUAGGAGAACUGUUUACUCCCAUCGAGGAUAAAUCUGCGUGGAGUGACUUCCUCCUGUCUGACCAACAGGUGGCGCAGUUCUGGAAAGAUGGCUUCCUGUCCAACAUACGACUGCUGUCUGAGGAACAGUGUGACAGGAUCAUAGCGGAUUACAAGUACUUCAUAGGAAGUGAUGAGAAGCAUCCUGGGAUGGAAAUGAUGUAUGAAUACAGCAGCAACCAAUCUGGUGACCCUGACAACGUGUUGAUGCAUGGUCUGGGACAGUGGAGACUCACCAAGUUGUUCCACGAUCUGAUCUUUCUACCACAGGCUGUCGUUCCCGCGUCACAGCUGCUUGACGAGUCGCGGCAAGGGGUUCCGGUGAGACUGUGGCACGACCAGAUGUUUGCUAAACCCCCGAACCACGGCGGGGUGGUCGCCUGGCAUCAAGAUUAUUCUUACUGGACUCGUACAAAACCCAUGAUGCACUUGACAAUUCACAUUGCCUUAGACGAGCAGACCGCUGACAAUGGACCCCUCCUGUACAUCCCUGGCUCUCACAGAUGGAAUCGAAAUGACAGUUCUGACCGAGGAAGAGAAAGCCCAGUUCAAACCCAUCAGCUCGGACUUGAAGAAAGGCUGUGCAAGCUUCCACCACCCACUGUCUGUCCACGGUUCCUAUGGCAACAGGUCAGACCGACCCAGACGUGCGACCGUGUUGAAUUAUUUUGCUGAUGGUGUUCUGUCCAACACUGAUGAUGAGCAGCUGAAAGGUAUCACCAUUCCAAAGGGUGAGAAGAUGUGUGGACAGUUCUUUCCAUUGGUCUAUGACCCAAGCUGGAGGGAAUAACUUUAACAUUAAGCUGGGGGAAAUAAAUUUAAUAUUGUCCUGGAGGGAAUACAUUUAACAUUGUGCUGGAGAGAAUGGGGGUUGCGGGGGUGGGGGGGGGGGGAGUUUGGGGGAGGUUGGUCAGGGAAAUUGUGCCACAGAAAAAAGAAAAAAAAAAAGUGCCUUAUUUUCAUACUCUCCUCUCCGCCAUCCAGAUGCAAAACCAAUUUAAAUUCUGUUUUAAGUGUUGUUUUUGAUGGGCCAGUUAUAAUUAUGAACAUUUUCAUCACAAUAUAAAUGUGCUCUAUUUUGAAACUCCCUCUCACUUCCUGGCAAGAUUUUGUUUUAAAAGCAUAUGGUGGCAUUAACAACUCACCCCGCCCCACCAACUUUCCGCCAAAAUACAAUUUGAUGUUACAUAAUAAAAAUAGAACAUACCACAAGUGGCUUUACUGUAUGGCUCUAAGUUUGAAAUGUUUUGUAAUUUCCCCUGGUAUUUCAAGCAGUGUGAAAGGGGCGGGACGUAGCCCAGUGGUACAGCACUCACCUGAUGCAUGGUCGAUCUAGAAUCGAUUACCGUCGGUUUCUCGUUCCAGUCCACUAUGACUUGUAUAUCAAAGACCAUGGUAUGUACUAUCCUGUCUUUGGGAUGUGCUAUCCUUUCUUUGGGAUGGUGGGAUGGUACAAAUGGAAAACUAUAUCAGGUUUUUUUCUUCUCUAAAACAAUAUGUCAGAAUUACCAAAUGGUUGACAUUCAAUAGCCAAUGAUUAAUAAAUCAAUGUGCUCUAGUGGUGUCGUUAAACAAAACAAAACCAGUUUUAUAUUAAUACAUAUUGACACAGCAUAAACAGCAUUUCUUUACAAUAAUAAAUCCAAAAAGUACAAUGUGACAAAGGCUAUAUAGAUGUAUCCAUUAACUGCUCAGACUUUAGGGGAAGUACCAUAUUUGCUCGGAAAUAAGACCAGGGGGCCAAGACAACUCAUUGUGAGCUUAGCAUGGGGUGGGCUUAUUCCCAGGAAAGGGGCCAGUUUUUUAAUUUAAAUAAUAAUAAUAAUAAGUAAUUUUUAUCUCAUGAAAAUGUUCAUAAUUAUGAAUCAUCCCAAUGGCAAAGAUAUGUAGGAAAACAAAACAAAACAAAAAAGUCCACUCCUUGAAUGAUGGCCGUUUCAUUAAAUUUAGAAAUCACUGUUAUAUAUCAAAGUUUCUAGUUUGCUUUAGCCCGUUCGAUGCAUGGUGUAGGCUCUGAAACAACUUGAGAAACAUAAUGGUAUUUGAUGGCCAUUUAUUGAGAAUUCUUAAUUAAUUAAUUUCAUUCAUCCAACCUGAUACCAUUGUUAUGCAUAGUAUGUAUUUGUUAAAACAUUGUCCAUCCAUCUGCCAGCUUUUCUUGUCCGGUGAAUAUCUUUGAUACUGUAUUUUGCAGCAUUUAUUAAAUUAGGGAAAAAAAGAGAAAUAUGUGAAAUAUUUCACUUGAAGUUCAUAGAAUUAUACUUUUAAAUUAAAAUACUGAUAUUUUAAAAAUUGUUUACCUUUCUUUUCUAAAUGAGAACUGGCUUACAAAUUUAAGAUUUGGCACGAGCGUAGGAAGGUGUCAGAAAGUGGGGUGGGGGCACACACUCACAGAUAUAUAUACAAAUUUGGGUAUGGCGCCAUACCCGUUUUACCCUCCGACAGAAACCAUGAUAUAUAUAUAUAUAUAUAUAUAUAUAUAUAUAUAUAUAUAUUAUUUAACGUUAACUGGCCCUAACAGAAACAUAAUGGUUAGUUUCAGAAUUAUACUAUAUGGAAUGGGGGAAAUUUGCACAUUGUACCUCAGUGUUUAAGUUGUGGGUUUUUAGUGGUUUCUCAUUUUGAUGCAAUAUUUGUUGUGAUUUUUGCACUCUUGUUAUAUGCAAAAUUUUAACUUGUUAUUAAAUGCAUAAUUGUUGCUGGUAAUAUAUUUUAAAUAUUACUCUAGGCGCUUUGUUACAUAUGAAUUUACGUAAUUACAAUAUCAACUGCCAUUAUAUUAAUAAUAAAACAAAAUGAUUUUCAA
rnacentral:misc_RNA from 1 species